rnacentral:snRNA from 1 species
AUGCUUGCUUUGGUAGCGCAUAUACUAAAAUUGGAACAAUACAGAGAAGAUUAGCAUGGUUCCUGCACAAGGAUGACAUGUAAAUUUGUGAAGGCUUUCCAUAUUGA